rnacentral:rRNA from 1 species
CGCGGCCUAUCAGCUUGUUGGUGAGGUAAUGGCUCACCAAGGCGACGACGGGUAGCCGGCCUGAGAGGGUGACCGGCCACACUGGGACUGAGACACGGCCCAGACUCCUACGGGAGGCAGCAGUGGGGAAUAUUGCACAAUGGGCGAAAGCCUGAUGCAGCAACGCCGCGUGAGGGACGACGGCCUUCGGGUUGUAAACCUCUUUUGGCAGGGAAGAAGCGAAAGUGACGGUACCUGCAGAAAAAGCACCGGCUAACUACGUGCCAGCAGCCGCGGUAAUACGUAGGGUGCAAGCGUUGUCCGGAAUUAUUGGGCGUAAAGAGCUCGUAGGCGGUUUGUCGCGUCUGCUGUGAAAACGCGAGGCUCAACCUCGCGCCUGCAGUGGGUACGGGCAGACUAGAGUGUGGUAGGGGAGAUUGGAAUUCCUGGUGUAGCGGUGGAAUGCGCAGAUAUCAGGAGGAACACCGAUGGCGAAGGCAGAUCUCUGGGCCAUUACUGACGCUGAGGAGCGAAAGCGUGGGGAGCGAACAGGAUUAGAUACCCUGGUAGUCCACGCCGUAAACGUUGGGAACUAGAUGUGGGGUCCAUUCCACGGAUUCCGUGUCGCAGCUAACGCAUUAAGUCCCCGCC